CCUAGGGGGCUGCAGUGGGGAAUAUUGGACAAUGGGCGAAAGCCUGAUCCAGCCAUGCCGCGUGUGUGAAGAAGGUCUUCGGAUUGUAAAGCACUUUAAGUUGGGAGGAAGGGUUGUAGAUUAAUACUCUGCAAUUUUGACGUUACCGACAGAAUAAGCACCGGCUAACUCUGUGCCAGCAGCCGCGGUAAUACAGAGGGUGCAAGCGUUAAUCGGAAUUACUGGGCGUAAAGCGCGCGUAGGUGGUUUGUUAAGUUGGAUGUGAAAGCCCCGGGCUCAACCUGGGAACUGCAUUCAAAACUGACAAGCUAGAGUAUGGUAGAGGGUGGUGGAAUUUCCUGUGUAGCGGUGAAAUGCGUAGAUAUAGGAAGGAACACCAGUGGCGAAGGCGACCACCUGGACUGAUACUGACACUGAGGUGCGAAAGCGUGGGGAGCAAACA
rnacentral:rRNA from 1 species